CCUACGGGAGGCUGCAGUGGGGAAUAUUGCACAAUGGGGGGAACCCUGAUGCAGCGACGCCGCGUGAGGGAAGAAGUAUUUCGGUACGUAAAGCUCUAUCAGUAGGGAAGAAAAAUGGACGGUACCUGAGUAAGAAGCCCCGGCUAACUACGUGCCAGCAGCCGCGGUAAUACGUAGGGGGCAAGCGUUAUACGGAAUUACUGGGUGUAAAGGGAGCGUAGGCGGCAAUGCAAGUCCGGAGUGGAAUGCGGCCGCUCAACUGCCGAACGGCCCAGGAAACUGUAUGGCUUGAGUGCAGGAGGGGGAAGCGGAAUUCCCGGUGUAGCAGUGAAAUGCGUAGAUAUCAGGAGGAACACCGGUGGCGAAGGCGGGUUACUGGACUGUAACUGACGUUGAGGCUCGAAGGCGUGGGGAGCGAACGGGAUUAGAUACCCGGGUAGUC
rnacentral:rRNA from 1 species